CUGCCCACCGCGCCGGUAGCAGAACCCGUGGGCAGGAGCGGGGGACCCAAGGUUCCUCGGACGACCGCACCCGUGCGGGAGUCCUCGGGGUGAAGCCGCGUCCGCGCGGCCGGGUCACACCUUCGACCCGAACCCGACAGCUGACCUCGCAGGCGUUGGAGGCCAACCAU
rnacentral:sRNA from 2 species